AUAUAUAAAAAAAAGUAGGGGUGGGCAAAAAAAUUGGGUGGAGCCAAAACCUUAGGGUACUUGGUGUUGCGAUUCCAAUUUCUACUCAAAAUUAGAAUCCCUAGGUUAGGUUUUGAUUCUGAAACACAAUUUAGGUAGGCUUUGGUAUUACCAUUAUAAGGUCUCAAAAGCUACUGAGAUUUAUGGACUUUGACACAUUAUAGAGAAUCAAUUCGUGUAUCUAUGAGUACAAAACAUGUCAAAUAGAGGAUUAACAUUUUACCGAAAUGCAUAACCCUCCCCUGGGGUUUUCAAUGUGUGAGAUUAUACCAGGAGGCAGCUUGGGUAAUAAAAUGUUAAGUUUUUAAAAUGGGGAGUUUAGGUUUAAGUCUCUUAAACAUACCCAGGUGAGUGACACAGAAAGAAUGCCAUCGAUAACUUUUUUUUUUUGGGAGGAAAGUCCAUUAGCAAAUCGAGGUGCAAGUUACUCUUCUUGUAAUUAGUUGUUUUUCAAGAAGAUGUGUUACGGGUUAAAGCUUACCAUAUUUUUGAAGUACAAAACAAGCAUAACUUCAAAGAUUUUUUGGCUUUCUCUUUGAAUGGGUGCCACAUAAAGAUUUGAGAUCUUUUGUAAUGUCUUGUGACUGACUUUUUAGCUGAAAUAUUUUGUACACUUUGCAUGACGCAAUUGUCAUGUUAUUCCACUUCUCCAUAAAAUUUGAUUGGAUGUGUCUUAUUUAUAUCA